GGAAGGUCUGCGCGUCGCGACUGCGAAGCGCCGAGCUAACAAAAACGCACCGUGUUCGCGGCUGGAGGGUGUCGUUCUUGAGCGAGGAACCUCGGACCCCAAAUCAGGGAAGACAACCACGGACACAAGUAGCACAGUGGUCUGGGAAGAAGAAAAGCCAUCUCUCCACACAAUGCAGUGCUUUCUGUAGCUUCUCCUCCAACGUUUCUGAAUUUUCACAGCUCAAAAGACAGUAAGUGGUGGAUUCAGGGAUAUCUGGCUGAUUAGUGCUAUGAAAGCAGACUCUUGGCUGGAUCACCACCACGCCUAAGCGCAGUCAUUGGUUUAUCCUCAGAAGACCUAUGUGAGGUAUCUUUCUCCUCAUGACAAAACGGAUACCUAAACUACAAGCAAAAGUAAGCAAUCAAUAUCUCCUCACCCAUGCACUGUAAUACUACGAAAUGCCUUCACCACAAAAUCAUCCUUCCUUUCUAUCCUCCUCUGUCCAGCAUCAGCCUAUUUUCAAACCUACAGAACCUUUAGUCAAGAUGUGCUUGCGCAGUGCAGCUCCACAGCAAAUGGAAAACCUCAAUUAAAUCCCGUAACACCUCCAGGACUCCAUAUACACAUCCACAACAUAAAAUGCCAUUUCUUUUAGGCUUGAAGUUUUCCAUACUCGUAUUUUUCUCAAAUCAAAAGCCAACUUGAGCCAGAGAAUGAAAGCAUCACUAGAAGUAAAACCUGAAAGGUAACAUUUU